GCUUGGCGGCUACAUUUACGCACGCACACUCUCUAAUUCCUUUAGUGGCACUGGACACACCUUGCUGCCAUAUACGCGUCUCGAUAGUUUGUAAAUGUAUUCCCCUAAUGUCUACAAUAAUAACUUAAUGUUAAUGUUACCUGUAUGCAGUAGCUAGACGUGUCCUUCACGCCUAUUCAGCUCCAACAGCUGCAGGAAAGAUUUCACCAAUUCCCACGGUUCUCCUUUCACAGUGUGCUGAAGAGUCCAGAUUGGUCUCACUGAUGGAUAGGAGAUACGCACUCAGUAUUUGCUAUGUGGGCAUGGGAAAAGGGCACAGAACAACGAGAGAGAGAAACAUAGAGACAGAGUAAGAGAGAGAGAGGGAGAGAGAGAGAGAGAGAGAGAGAGAGAGAGAGAGAGAGAGAGAGAGAGAGAGAGAGAGAGAGAGAGAGAGAGAGAGAGAGAGAAAGAGCGCACUGUAUGCGGUGGACCAGUUUCUUUCCCUCUUCCUUCGACAUUCAUUGAAAAGAUUCACACUCUUUUCGGAAAGAUACUUAGGUACAGUUGGUCGACUUUUGUUUGUAGUAUUAGAUAUUAUUAUCAGAUUAUUUCAAAGGGACAUAUUGUGACUAAAUGCCAAAACGUUGCCUCCUGGUAUGCGCUUCCAUUGCGGACUUAAAUAUCUACAAAACGUUGGAAGCUGAGUUCCAUGAAUUGCCAUCCUGUACCAACAUUGAUGUUGCCAUGGCGGGCUACCGAAAAAAAGAACCAGACAACAAAUAACCUGAUCACAACUGAAACAGAAACUUGCAUCACUGGUCACUGUGGUUCUGGAAUGCAGCGUUUAAGAGCAGUUUCAUUAACAGUUUGGGCACUUCCUUUACAGCACAGCUUUGAGACAAAUAUAGAACAAAACUAACAAAUCCACACAAACGCACAACAAUGCACUCUCUUCCGGAGGUCUACUUUGUGUGCUCAAUGGUGUCGAGACUCACUGCAGUGCUUUGGAAGAGUCCAGUGUUUUCACACAGCGCACGUCCAGAAAAAUGACACAAAAAGGUCUUGUUUUACUUUGUUUGGAUGGUAUAGGAUACUCAAGAACAGAUCAUGCGUUUGCUCUUCUGCGUGUCCAGGCUUGAACCAUCCAUGGCUGUGCCUGGGGCUGUGGCAAGACCCCGAAUCCGUCCACUCGACGACCAGCUCCCAGUAACAGCCAUGUCAACAACAAUGUACAACAAGAAUGUUGUAAAGGCAUCAUACAUGGUAAACCCUAACAACAAACCAGAAACCGACGGCGUCCAGCGUUUUAGGUCGUCACACCUUCUUCUAUGUCGCCACGGGGUGGUCAGUUGGUCAUCACAAACAAAAAAUCCACCUUGAGUCCUUAGAAUAUGUUGAUAACAAAGAUAAAGGCAAACGGUUUCAAGGACUGAGAGAUAGCAUGACCUACAACGCACAGCACUUGUGUGGAGAUGGCAGCUGCUGGCGCGCGUCUGCUGCAGUCGCUAUUGUUCAAACGGCAUCAGCUGUCACACAUAUCACAUUUCAAACUGGAAUCUGAUCCAAAUAAAUGAAAUUGUUAUUUGUGCCAAUAAGCGUCCACAGCAGACUAUUCUUAUCGUUUCAAUUGCGCGUAGUAGGUUGUAUUGCGCAUUUGUUUAGACGCCCACAAUAAAAAUCAACAUUUUGCUGCGUGUUUAGGCUACACAGUGCAUGCGGGCUCAAGCUAAAUUGUAAAUGGAGCUUGAGACGCAAUACUACCAAAAUGCUUUUCAAUUAUAUCGUAUUGUAGAAUACGCAGACAGAAGUAGCGCCUAUACAUAUCCAGAACAGUGUCUUGCAUUAUGCGCAUAAAUGUGCGUAUAGGCCUACUGUAAAUACCACCCCACACAGCACAAUUUGACCAGGUCCAUGUCCAAUCAACUGUGUGCAAAUGUACUUAUUGUCUAAUAAAUUCAUGUCAAAUAUGUUUUUGUUGCACACGAUUGUUUCUAUUUAAAAAUGAAUUGCAUACUAUGUACUGUACUGCUUGUCUUUGUUGUAGUUCUAGAUAUUGAGGUAAAUUAAUAGUUUUUGCUAACACAAGACAAACUAUUGUUGAAAUGCCCCAAUUGAGUAAGUCACAUUGAUUCAGAGAUGAUCUGUUAUGCCCCAGGCCAAAACAUUUUCACUUCAAGUGAGUUCAAGUAAAGCUUUUCUAUAGCA